AUCCAGCUAACGCGUCUCAAAUAGGACGAAACGCGCGUCCUGGAU
rfam:Schistosoma haematobium scaffold278_11, whole genome shotgun sequence.